UACAUGUCAUCUUCCAGUGUUGGAGCAGAUUUUCUGGUCCCAUUUGAAGAUUCCCAGAACAUCUGGAGACACGAAACUGCCCGGAGGUUAAACAUCGGCCUUCUGCUUCAAGGAAAGGUCAACCUGAUGGAGCUGGAUAUCAAAUAUCCAGCAAAACUGCUCUGUGACAAAGGACACAGUGGAUGCGUUUUCGGUAGCACUGUGGUGUAGCGAGAAGAGCCUGAGUGCUGCAGAGAAGAGAACAUCUUGGAAAACAAGUGAUGGCAAACGCAGCUGUGAAGUAAAGAUACAGGUGGAGGACACAUAAAGACUGACCUGUACCAGAAAUCAUGGUAUAAGGCAGGGUACAUCCUGGACACAAAGGUGGACAGUGCGAAUCUCUGGGUGAAAAGGCUCCAUCUCCUGCCCAUGGGGGACAACUGGAGAACCACAAGCAAGCAGCAGAAACUGCAGCAGGAGGCCUCUACAAGUACUGCAAGAAGAGGAGUAAAGGUGUCAAAGUGAAUGACGGCAGUGAGUGACGUGUGUUUAAACUGUAUUUGUUUUCUAAUGUAAAUUAUCCUCAGCCAGCAGAGAUUUAAAUGUGGAUCAGACAGAACAUGCAGCAGAAUAACUUGUGUGCAAAGAACAACACCAACACCAGUGGUGAAAUAUCAGCCUGUAAAGAACCCUCUGGAGAUGUUUGUCUGAUGCUAGCCAUCUAUAAAUGAGAUUAUUUCAACAAGCUUAGUUUGCUGUAGUUUAUUUUUCAUCUCUGUGCUUCUUUGCUGCAUUAAUUUUGUGUAACUUAUACUAAUAUACACUCUGUACAAUGAAAUCACAAGCUUUUUUUUUUAAAGGUGGGAUUUCCACAUUAAAAGGCCUUAAAUUAUGUUUUGUGUUGCUGAAAUGUAUUAUUUAUGUUAUGAAUACUAGCAAAAGGCAUUU